CGGCAUGUUCCCAAGGUCUUUGGCUAGUUGUGGCCAAGGGAUCUCCAACUGCAUGCAAGAGCAACCUGGAGAGACUUUGACAGCCCAGGUGAACAUAUACCUGCAGCUGCCACUCGACUUUCCUAUAAUG